AAAGUAUUCCCUCCGUUUGGAAUUACUUGUCGAAGAAAUGGAUGUAUCUAGAUGUAUUUUAGUUCUAGAUACAUCCAUUUUCAAGACAAGUAAUUCCGAACGGAAGGAGUACAAA
rnacentral:pre_miRNA from 1 species